CCCUUAGAUGUUCUGGGUCGCACGCGCGCUACACUGAUACGUUCAACGAGUUUACAACCUUGAUCGAAGGGUCUGGGUAAUCUUUUGAAUGCGUAUCGUGCUAGGGAUAGACUAUUGCAAUUAUUAGUCUUGAACGAGGAAUUCCUAGUAAACGCAAGUCAUCAGCUUGCAUUGAUUACGUCCCUGCCCUUUGUACACACCGCCCGUCGCACCUACCGAUUGAAUGACUCGGUGAAAUAUCGGGACCGUUGUCUGGUUUGAUUCAUUUCGAACUAGAUAGUGGGAACUUUCUUUAACCUAUUUAUUUAGAGGAAGGUGAAGUCGUAACA
rnacentral:rRNA from 1 species